rnacentral:rRNA from 1 species
UACGUAGGUGGCAAGCGUUGUCCGGAAUUACUGGGCGUAAAGGGCGUGUAGGCGGCCUUUUAAGUCAGACGUGAAAACCCUGGGCUUAACCCAGGAACUGCGUUUGAAACUGGAAGGCUUGAGGACCGGAGAGGGUAGUGGAAUUCCCAGUGUAGCGGUGAAAUGCGUAGAUAUUGGGAGGAACACCAGUGGCGAAGGCGACUGCCUGGACGGCACCUGACGCUGAGGCGCGAAAGCUAGGGGAGCAAACGGGAUUAGAUACCCCGGUAGUCCUAGCCGUAAACGAUGGGUACUAGGUGUGGGAGGUAUCGACCCCUUCCGUGCCGCAGUUAACACAAUAAGUACCCCGCCUGGGGAGUACGGCCGCAAGGUUGAA